rnacentral:rRNA from 1 species
UACGAGGGAUGCAAGCGUUAUCCGGAAUUAUUGGGCGUAAAGCGUUUGUAGGCGGGCGAGUGUGUUUAAUGUUAAAUCUUAAAGCUCAACUUUGAAAUUGCGUUAAAAACUGCUUGUCUUGAGUAUGGUAGGGGUAAAGGGAAUUCCCAGUGUAGCGGUGAAAUGCGUAGAUAUUGGGAAGAACACUAAACAGCGAAGGCACUUUACUAGGCUAAUACUGACGCUGAGAAACGAAAGGUAAGGUAGCGAAACGGAUUAGAUACCCGUGUAGUCUUACCCGUAAACUAUGGACACUAAACGGUAAAUUUUUAAUUUACUGUUAAAGCUAACGCGUUAAGUGUCCCGCCUGGGGAGUAUGCUUGCAAAAGUGAAACUCAAAGGAAUUGACGGGGGCCCGCACAAGCGGUGGAGCAUGUGGUUUAAUUCGACGGUACACGAAGAACCUUACCAGGAUUUGACAUGCUAGAUAGUUGCUUGAAAGAGUAACGUGCCGUAAGGAAUCUAGACACAGGUGGUGCAUGGCUGUCGUCAGUUCGUGUUGUGAAAUGUUGGGUUAAGUCCCGUAACGAACGCAACCCUUGUCUUUAGUUAUUUUCUAAAGAGACUGCCUGUAAUAAACAGGAGGAAGGUAAGGAUGAGGUCAAGUCAUCAUGCCCCUUAUGUCCUGGGCUACACACGUGCUACAAUGGGAAAGACAAUGAGCUGCAAAUCUGUAAAUUUAAGCAAAUCUCUUAAACUUUCUCGUAGUUCGGAUUGUGGGCUGCAACUCGCCCACAUGAAGUUGGAAUCGCUAGUAAUCGCCAGUCAGCUAUAUGGCGGUGAAUCCGUUCCCGGGCCU